GUGUACAGUGUGUAGGUACAGUGUGUACAGUGUGUAGGUACAGUGUGUACAGUGUGUACAGUGUGUAGGUACAGUGUGUACAGUGUGUACAGUGUGUAGGUACAGUGUGUACAGUGUGUAGGUACAGUGUGUACAGUGUGUAGGUACAGUGUGUACAGUGUGUACAGUGUGUACAGUGUGUAGGUACAGUGUGUACAGUGUGUAGAGUGUGUACAGUGUGUAGGUACAGUGUGUACAGUGUGUAGGUACAGUGUGUACAGUGUGUACAGUGUGUAGGUACAGUGUGUACAGUGUGUAGGUACAGUGUGUACAGUGUGUACAGUGUGUAGGUACAGUGUGUACAGUGUGUAGGUACAGUGUGUACAGUGUGUACAGUGUGUAGGUACAGUGUGUAGGUACAGUGUGUAGAUGCAGUGUGUAGGUACAGUGUGUACAGUGUGUAGGUACAGUGUGUAGGUACAGUGUGUACAGUGUGUAGGUACAGUGUGUAGGUACAGUGUGUAGGUACAGUGUGUACAGUGUGUAGGUACAGUGUGUAGAUGCAGUGUGUAGAUGCAGUGUGUAGAUGCAGUGUGUAGGUACAGUGUGUAGAUGCAGUGUGUAGGUACAGUGUGUACAGUGUGUAGAUGCAGUGUGUAGGUACAGUGUGUAGGUACAGUGUGUACAGUGUGUAGGUACAGUGUGUACAGUGUGUAGGUACAGUGUGUACAGUGUGUAGGUACAGUGUGUAGAUGCAGUGUGUAGAUGCAGUGUGUAGAUGCAGUGUGUAGAUGCAGUGUGUAGAUGCAGUGUGUAGGUACAGUGUGUACAGUGUGUAGGUACAGUGUGUAGAUGCAGUGUGUAGGUACAGUGUGUAGAUGCAGUGUGUAGGUACAGUGUGUAGGUACAGUGUGUACAGUGUGUAGGUACAGUGUGUAGAUGCAGUGUGUAGAUGCAGUGUGUAGAUGCAGUGUGUAGGUACAGUGUGUAGAUGCAGUGUGUAGAUGCAGUGUGUAGGUACAGUGUGUACAGUGUGUAGGUACAGUGUGUAGAUGCAGUGUGUAGGUACAGUGUGUAGAUGCAGUGUGUAGGUACAGUGUGUAGAUGCAGUACUGUGUCUGACCAGCAGGGACAGCGUCUGCAGCAUGGUGAUCUGAGCGUUGACCAGGUACGCCAG